ACACAUGCAAGUCGAACGAUGAUCUCCAGCUUGCUGGGGGGAUUAGUGGCGAACGGGUGAGUAACACGUGAGUAACCUGCCCUUGACUCUGGGAUAAGCCUGGGAAACUGGGUCUAAUACCGGAUAUGACCUUUCACCGCAUGGUGGGGGGUGGAAAGCUUUUGUGGUUUUGGAUGGACUCGCGGCCUAUCAGCUUGUUGGUGGGGUAAUGGCCUACCAAGGCGAUGACGGGUAGCCGGCCUGAGAGGGUGACCGGCCACACUGGGACUGAGACACGGCCCAACUCCUACGGGAGGCAGCAGUGGGGAAUAUUGCACAAUGGGCGCAAGCCUGAUGCAGCGACGCCGCGUGAGGGAUGACGGCCUUCGGGUUGUAAACCUCUUUCAGUAGGGAAGAAGCGAAAGUGACGGUACCUGCAGAAGAAGCGCCGGCUAACUACGUGCCAGCAGCC
rnacentral:rRNA from 1 species